rnacentral:lncRNA from 1 species
UUGGCGCGCCAUCUUCCCUUUCGUUAUUGAUGUUGGUCGAUGCAAAUGGAAAAACAUCCUCUAUAAUAUCCAUGACUUGAUCAUUAUGAUCCACAAUAGGUUCAACACUGUCCAUUCUUGUGGCAUUUGAAGACGAAGCAUGGUCUAAUUGUUCCCUAUGAAGGUUCCAAAUGCUAUAUGUCUCAAUCAUUCCAUUCCUUACUAAAUGAAAUCCAACAUUUUCAAUUGUC